CGGGAGGCGGGUAGCGCUGCUCGGAGGCCAUCCCUGCGGGAUGAUGAAGGAAACCCAAAGACAGGCACCGUCGCAUUGUCUGUAGGCAUCCUCACCCCAUGCCAGUGCCCUGCUCCGGAACCGCAGGGAACGAGCACGGCCAGACACAGACAGCCCAGCAUGAAAAUGCCACCAUCGCUAGGAGAUGCAGGCUAGCAGCAAGGGAAAGGGAGGCCAGGAGGACCGGAGUCACCCGGAGUGGCUGGCACUGGCAGGAGUUCCUCAGGAGUCCAACCACAUCCCGGAGCGUAAGUUUGGGGCUCACAAGUUGUCCGUGCUCCUCAGACGGGGAAGUCCUGCUCCCUG